rnacentral:lncRNA from 1 species
CUCUAUAAAUACAAAAUAGUACUAUAUGAAGCAUGCUAUGACAUGAUGAUAUGGUCUAAGGGGCUUAAAUUAAAUGCUCUCAGGAUAAUUAGUGGAUUUUGGCAAUGUCCUCAGUGUCAUUAAGAUCUGAGUAACUAUGUCUUCAAGAAAUAUAUUCUGUGGCUGAUUCAGGUGCAAGACACUUGCAGCUUAUCAGGAGCCACCUGAUCACUUUUUCUGUGGCAGGAUGAUUGUCGUUUGAUGGGGUUAGGUUGCAUGGUGCUGGACCAAUGCAGUCACACUGAUAGAUUUGGGUCCUGAUAUCCUUUCACUCUGUUCACUUGACUUCCUCUCAAUUCUGUUUUGUGAAUAGUGACACUUUGGAUUUACCUAUUAGAGAAGACUAUUGGCUCUCAACCAGAAUGUUUUCUAAACUCUUCCAUAUACAAGGAGAGCAAAAUCAUGUUAUAACAUCCUUGAAAAUUGAAGACCCGCCUUAAGCAUUUCUGUUGACUUGGAAACUGCAGUCCAUUCCAUUGUCAGACAGUUCUGAAGAUAGGAAGUUCUUAAUACUGAAACCAACUCUGGUCUCCUCAUUCCUCAAGCAACUCUAGUCUGGCUCUUUUCCUCACCAUUCCUCCAA